AAAAAGAGAAGUAAUUCACAGUCUAUUAUAUAAGUGAGUUAAACUAAUGAUUAGAGGAUUAAAAUGUAAAGAAAAAAUAAUUAUUAGAAUGUAAAUUCCUUAAUAUAUGAAAUAAAAGUAUUUCUUAGACUUCAAACUCAUCUAACUAAAUGGGAUACUAUAAUGUUUUGCAAAAUAGUUGCCAGCUCUAAUUAUAAUUACAGGAUUAUUAAAGCUGUGCAGACAAAGCAAGGUGGGUCGUAUUCUAUUAACAGCAUGAGAACCUGCUGGUAGUUCCUGAAACCAUUAACAUUCAAGUCUUGAAUCUGAUAACCACCCACUUUGUACAAGCAGUUGCCGCCUUAAAUUUCUUGCAGUGCAGAGAUAGAAGGCCAAUAGUGCAGAACAUUAGGCAGCUUCUGCAAUCUAUUAGUUCAGAGAAUGGCAGACCGGAUAGUAAAUGCCACUCUGCAGAAAUAUAUGUUAGGCUCAUCCCAAAUUGCUGCCCAUCCAAUCCGAAGAACCCUUUUAUAAAAACCUUGCCAAUCUUUUAACUUGUUAGAAAAGAAUAAAGAUGAUACAAACUAUUUAAUGAAAUUGCUUCCACCUCUCAACCAAUUACUAAUGCCUUGGAACAUAAGUGCUCUACCAGCUUUGUAUCUCCCAACCCUCUCCAAACUCACCCCUUAUCUCCUAGGAUAAAUG
rnacentral:lncRNA from 1 species